rnacentral:lncRNA from 1 species
GGAUAUUUCAGGCCUUGUGUUUCUUUGUGGAGCAAUGAAAUGUGUGGAGCUGGGUAGAGCUGUAAAGAUCUAGAAACAGAACACUGAACACCCCUUCAUCGUCUCACGCUCCCAACCACCACGGCAGGCACUUCUUUUUGCCAUUCCCAGAAGGAUCUUCUCUGGAGCCCAAAUGCUUUCUCCGAAUAUCACAUCAGAUGCCUUCUCCAAUUUGCUGGUUCUGUAAAAUGGAAAACAAGCUCAAUUCUCUUCCAAGACUCUGACUCACUCUGUAAGCUCACAGGAGAGGGUGACCUGGCCUCAAAAGGUAAGUUAUCAAAAGAAGUUAUGAGCUCGGUAUACAUGGAAGCCUUUCCACCCUUGGACACUGGGGAGGCUUAAGGAUUUAAGGAGUGGGAUCUAAAUCCAGGCUCUGUUCUAAG